rnacentral:rRNA from 1 species
UUUUUCGGAGAGUUUGAUCCUGGCUCAGGACGAACGCUGGCGGCGUGCCUAAUACAUGCAAGUCGAGCGAACAGAAGGGAGCUUGCUCCCGGAUGUUAGCGGCGGACGGGUGAGUAACACGUGGGUAACCUGCCUGUAAGACUGGGAUAACUCCGGGAAACCGGAGCUAAUACCGGAUAGUUCCUUGAACCGCAUGGUUCAAGGAUGAAAGACGGUUUCGGCUGUCACUUACAGAUGGACCCGCGGCGCAUUAGCUAGUUGGUGGGGUAAUGGCUCACCAAGGCGACGAUGCGUAGCCGACCUGAGAGGGUGAUCGGCCACACUGGGACUGAGACACGGCCCAGACUCCUACGGGAGGCAGCAGUAGGGAAUCUUCCGCAAUGGACGAAAGUCUGACGGAGCAACGCCGCGUGAGUGAUGAAGGUUUUCGGAUCGUAAAGCUCUGUUGUUAGGGAAG